UUUGUUGAGUUACAGUUUUUUUUGGAUUGCUUAAGCACGAUUUUCAAAACAGGGCCCGUGUUUUCAAAACACUACACACAAUUAGCACAACCACACAUACAAUUAGCAAAACACUACAGAUCCCUUGCAUAAUUAAACACUCUUGUAAAAACUAUACACUUCUGUUUAAAAACCACACUUUGUUACCAUAUGAAACACACACGUUUCACAUUACUAUACUCUGUUUGCACGAGUUACACUCUGCUGUGAUAAACCUACAACACUUUUAGCACUUCUACUUCCCUAUGAUUAGAGUAGGCUACCAUCAAUAAAGUACAAAUAUAAUGUAAAUUCACCAAACACUACACAAGACCAAUGUUGCAGACUGAAGAAACUCAUUUAUUUGUCAACACGCCCAAAAUGUUCACAUGUACUGUAAGUUUACUGUAAAAAAUAAAAAAAAAAACUAGACAUUGUCUCUUCGCCUAGCUGGAUCUGGCCAGAGAAUUUCAUCAACAUCGCAGGCAAUGUUGUCAUUAGCAAGAAACCUUGGAAAGAAACUUCGUGAAUGACGAAUCCAUCCUUGCAUUGCUGCUACCUCCAUCUGGUCACAGGCCUCCUCCAUGGCUUGGAUGAGGGGUACCUCAGCCUGGAGACGGAGAUCAUAUACCUUCCACCGACUCCAUUCUGUGUAAUGGCUGCACAGAGUGUUAUAGUAUAUUACCCCCACGUUGCCCUGGGACAUUGACUAUAGCCCUGAGGCCAAAGAUGUUUCUUCCCCUCCUUCGUGUUCUCGUCAGGUUGAACCCAGCGUCAUCUACGUAUAUGAACUCAUGCUGGAUCUCCUCUCCAUCCAUUCGUAAAACUCUCUGAGGAACAAUGUCAUGCAAAAUUGUGUAGUUCAGUGUAGAUAUGAUGUUGAUAUGAUGAUAUUUUUACAAUACACUGUACCUAUUUUCCAGUCGAAAUGUUCUCAUCACACUUGCCACUGUGUAUCGGCUUAGAUUUGGCUGUACUCGCAGUCCAGCCUCCCUCAGCGUCAGGCCGUGGUUGACAACGUGGUCAACAAGUGUUGCGCGGAUCUCAUUUGUCACAUUCGGUCCUCUUUGAGCACCUUCUUGUCUUCCUCUUCCUCUACCUCUACCUCCAGCAUGUCCUCCAUCUCUUCCUCUUCCUCUGUUGAUUCCUCCUCUGUUGAUUCCUCUUCCUCCUCUUCCUCCUCCUUCUUGUUCUCCUCGUUCUCCUCCUCAUCUUACUCUUUCUCUGACUCUUUACAUUGUGCUUGAAGUCCUAUGAACUCACCUGCUGCUUUUUAUAUUCAAUUCAAGUUCAAUUCAAUUCAAGUUUAUUUGUAUAGCGCUUUUUACAAUAGAAAUUGUCUCAAAGCAGCUUUACAGAACAUAAACAUAGAGCAGAAGGUAAACAUAUAUUAUAGUGCUUAUACACCUGAUUGGUGUGCCUACAAUUAAGAAAACAAGUGUUUGCACACCUGAUGACUGUGUUGAACCGACUGGUUGGACGCUGCAGUAAUUUGACAGUCAGUGCUUUGGUAUUGCAAGGAAGUGACUUCAUGAUAGAUUUUUGUGUGUAAUGUAUGUUAAGUGUGUUUAGUGGUUUCCAAAUCACUGUGUGUAGAGUUUUGCAACAAGUGUGAGGUUGACAAUGUGCUUAUAGUUGUGCAAAUAUGGGCUGAUGUUUUGCCUCUUGAGUGUAAGGUUUUGCUAAUAGUGUACUACUGUUAAUUUUAGUGUGUAAGCAAUCCAAAAAAACUGUAAUUGUUGUUGUGCGACCUCCGGUGGCGACAUUAAGUAAUUAGUGGGUCAUUCGCCUUUAACCUGUGACCACACCCCUUCCUUCGGCAGAGAAGUGUAUCUCAUGCACAGAGGGGGUAGGUAAAAAUGUGCUCCGCGAAAUGCGAUUAUUUUUGUUACAUAAAACAUGUUUAUCUCCUAAAUAAUGUUAAAUUGAAAGCUCAGUGAUGUUGUGAAAUGAUAUGGUAGUUGAUUGUAUAUGACUAACUUCGUGAAGUUUAGACAUAAUUUGCUCACCAUGUGCGAUAGCAUGGCUGACGACAUCUUUUUCACUAGUAUGCAGAAAAUAAACACAACGCAUGAUUGAACGCAGUUCCUCGUGUCUGCCUGAUGAUUUGAGUGCCGUCGGAUAAGGAGCGUUACACAUACACUUUGUCCCCUUUCUACAUUAUUCCAGUCUUAAAAAAUAAAAAAACUCAUGAUACUUUUUCUGCCUCUGAUAGAGGCUGUGUGUAAUUUGUGAUGGAUAUUUGAAUUUAUAUUUUAUACUUUUAUAUAUUUUUAUACUUUUGUGGUUGUUUGAUGUUCAAUGUGCUUUUCGUGUUCUAUUCACCUUUGCCUGCCACUUGUCUGUAAUAUGUAUAGGAGGACUUUUAUUUUGACGUGUCUCUGCGAGUGCGGCAUGUUGGGUAACCAGGUAGCAACGAGCAUGGUGUAGUGUACACUGGGUGUAUGUUUGUGUUGCAUCCGCAUUGAUCCUUCUUCAAAAUGCUACAGAAGCACCGGUUGUGAGUUUAUCUUGAAUGGUUUCUCUAUUGCACAUAAUAUUAAAGUGUAUGUUUACAUUAAUCACUUUAUGAUUGGAGAUGUUUGCUGUUGCUGAUUUGUGCUGGCGUGCUGCAUUGGCAACUCAUUUAAUUUGAGAUAUCUGUUGUGUAGAUUUUGUCAGAAUCAGCUGCAGCAGCGAUGGAAAGUGAUGAUAGUCGUAGUAGAAAGAGCACACUCUCAUCACACGUGAUUUCAAGACGAACAAGGGUAUAUGUGGAACACCAGACCCUAGUGAGCUCCGAGUUUACCACUUUACCUCUGAAUUUGUCAUCCUGUUUAAAAGAAUCGACUCCAAAUUUGAUCAAAAGGUCUCAGAACGUGUGCGCUGAAGGUGACAGCGACCUUAAUGCAGUUCAAGAAUGGAGUCGAAUAAGUGAUGGUGAACAUCUGCAGAACACAAGACGUCCAGAUUAUCAAUACGCUCUACCUCAAUCCAUUACAAAUGCAGCAUCUAAAGUAUCUCCAGGCCAAAAUCGUGAUCCACAAGAGUGUACGGUCCAUUCAGAUGUGCAGCAUUCCUCUCAAAGCCAAGCAACGCCUAUGUUGGACAUUGCAAGAUUCUUAGCACGUAGAGAACUAGUUGCAACAGGGCUUACCAAGUUUGAUGACAAUCCAGAAAACUUUAGGGCUUGGGAGUCUUCAUUUGUUAAUGUUACACAAGAUUUGCAGCUCUCAGCCAAUGAAAAGUUAGAUUUGUUAAUCAAAUGGCUAGGAAAGGAAUCGUCAGAGCAUGUAAAAAAAAUACGAGCCGUUUGUUACAGAUCCUCAAGCUGCUCUUCAGAUGUCUUGGAUGAGACUUCAAGAAUGUUACGCUACUCCAGAGGUAAUUGAAAGUGCCUUAUUUAAGCGAUUGGACAACUUUCCACGUUUAUCUCCAAAGGAUAAUGUGAAACUCAGGGAGUGUCAGAACUUAGAGCCCGCCUCCAAGCUGACAUAUCACAAGGGUGAUUUAUACUUAUAACUGUAACUGUAUUGUCAACUACUUUAACCAAAUCCUUCUAAUUAUACUAUAAUCAAAGUUGUGGAAAUAGUGAGAAAACUCCUCAGACCUGGAUGAGAAUGAGCAAAAACUUCUUUAUUGUAGACAAUCAGUCAUCCAUUCCAUUGAGCUCAGAGAAAACAAAAUCACUAAGUCAAAAAGGCACAACUGAAAAACCCAAAAGGAGCAUUCACUUGUCACCAAAAACUUCUCUCUGGCAGAACAAAAGUUAAAGUAUCAAACGAAAAUGAAGGAGCUGCAGCAUCCAAAAAUGGUUUCACCGUCCAAGCUACCCCACGAAAAACACUCUGAACUUCCCCUCCAAAUUUCCCUCAAUAUAUACCCUGGUGCUGCUAAGCGCCUCCUAUUUUUGAUCCCUCCUACUCUCAGACAGGUUCCCAUGAUGUUUCAAGUUGUUCUCUGGGGCUCCGCCUAAUCAUUUACAUGCUUCUUCCAAAAUCCCCUUAUUUCCCGGAAUUACCUCAUAUGCUCCUUCAGUUACUUCAUAUCCUGCCUUUCUGAAUUCCCCUUACUUUCCAGAAUCAUCACCUGACCCUUGCUCAUAUACCCUUAUAUGGAUUUUCCUCCUUUCUCGAUUUCCUAUUAUUUUCAGCCUUUUUCGUCAUUGUAAUAAAAAAAAAUAUGCUCAAGAGAGCUUUACUUCCUUGUUGUUAUUACAUUUGUUGCUCAGCCUUUUUAUGACAGACACUUCGUGGACUUAUCUUCUCCUCAGCUACAAUGAGUUCUCAGCCUCAGGGUCAGCCAAUUCACCCUGGUCACACCAUCUGGAUUUCUAGGUCUACUCCCUACAAGAGGCCAGUUCCUACUGAGGUCAUGGCCAGUUAUCGCCGCUAUCAGCUGCGUCAUCUUUCACAGGAGUUCUGCUCUUUCCUGGAACGCCUGUCCUCCCUUACACUCCCAGAUCAUCCUCUCUUGCCCUUUAACAUCAUGCAAAUGCCUCUGACUUGCUCUUCUUCUACUCAAACGCCUCUGCCUCCUAUCCUGGUGGAUCAACGGACACAAACAGAUGGUUGUCCUCAUGCUGAACUCUGUUGCCCUAGGCUGACAACUCCUGCCUCUCCUCCACGUAUCCCUUCUCCUCCCAUUGCCUAUAUUCGUCCCCUGGCAGCUCCUACCUCUCCUCCUCUUGUCUCAUCUCCUCAUUUUGGUUACAUUCCCUCUCUCUCUCCUAGUUUGGCAUCUUCUCCCUCUAACUCUGAGCCUGGCUCCCCAGGCUUUGUUCCUUCUUCCCCUUCUCCUAGGCCUGGAUCCCCAGACUAUACUCCCACUUCUCCCAGGCCUGAUAGCUCUGGUUAUUACUAAGUUUGUUUGCAAUAAACCUCUCUUUCUCUUUUAUAUUUCUCCUGAGUCCUGUGUGGUUUAUUUGCAUUAAGUAACUACUUAUUCUUAUUAUGACGUCUGAGCUCUAUACCCAUAUAUCCUAUGAUAUCAAUCAUAAUAAGUCCUUAUGUAUGCUCCUCUGGGGCCCUUUUUAAUACAUUAUAGAAUUUUCACAACAUCAGGAGCUUGCAGAUUUGCUCACAGAAAUACUUGUCGCUAAAGGAGAUGCAUAUUUACCUGGACUGGCUUAUCUUGAUACCCCUCGUGGUAUUAAUCUUAUUGUAGAGAAGUUGCCAGCAAAUCUACAAGAAAAGUGGUUAUUUGCAGGUUCACGAUUCAAAGAUGAAAACGGGUCAGUUUUCCCCCAUUCUCAUUCUUUACCCAUUUCCUUUGUAGUGAAGCUAAAGCUAGGAAUGACCCUAGUUUCAAGCUCUCGAGUAGUACCCAUACUGUCAUUAAAAAUGAAAGACCCCUGUAUAGACAUGGUGAUAGCAGAGUCCCUGUUUCAGUGCAUAAAACAGAUGUAUACACAGAACCUGGAGCAGACUCUACAAAUGUGAAGGAGACAAGUAAGAGAGACCUGACAAAGAGCUGCCCUCUCCAUAACAAACCACAUCCUCUGUCAAAAUGUAGAGCCUUUAGAAAAAUGAUGUUGACUGAGCGCAGGAAUCUUCUAAAAGAACACACAAGAUGUUUCAGGUGUUGCUCUCCAAGUCAUAUGGCCAGAGGCUGUCUUGUGAGCUUAAAAUGUGUAGACUGCGAUUCCGAUAAACAUUGUACUGCCAUGCAUCCUGAUCUAGCUCUGCCUUUCUCCACACCUGCAAAGCAAGAACUGCAUACAACACAACAGGACAAAGUUACAACAGAGGUAACUUCAAGGUGUACAGAAGUUUGUGGAGAAAAUGCUCAAAUGCGAUCCUGUGCGAAAAUUUGUCUGGUGCGUGUAUUUCCUCAUGAGCAACGGGAACAAGCAAUCCUGAUGUAUGUCAUAAUUGAUGACCAGAGCAACCGCUCGUUGGCUAAAGGAGAGUUCUUUCAGCUUUUCAGUAUCCAAGGUAACCCCUUUCCUUAUUUGCUAAGAACAUGUGCUGGCUCCACAGAAAUGUCUGGAAGAAAAGCAGUAGGCUUCCAAAUAGAGACACUGGACAAUAAGACAUGCCUUGAUCUCCCACCACUGAUUGAGUGUAACGAGAUAAUGAGCAGCAGAACUGAAAUUCCCACACCAGAGGUGGCUCUUGCUCAUCCUCACUUGAAAUCUGUGGCACAGUUCAUCCCAAAGCUGGACCCCAAUGCUCAGAUCCUGAUAUUGCUAGGAAGAGACAUGAUCCGUGUACACAAAGUGAGACAACAAAUCAAUGGACCUCAAAAAGCACCCUUUGCACAACGGCUGGACUUAGGCUGGGUGAUUAUAGGUGAUGUUUGCAUCGACAAAGCCCAUAUGCCAACGUUGAAUGUUUUUAAAACUAACAUCUUGGAAAAUGGUCCCCCCUCUCUUCUUACU